ACUCAAAUGAAUUGACGGGGACCCGCACAAGCGGUGGAGCAUGUGGAUUAAUUCGAUACUAACCGAAGAACCUUACCCAGACUUGACAUCGACGGAAAGCAUCAGAAAUGGUGCCCUGGGCCCACAAGGCCUACCUGAAGACAGAUGUUGCAUGGCUGUCGUCAGCUCGUGCCGUGAGGUGUUUGGUUAAGUCCAGCAACGAGCGCAACCCUCAUUUCGUGUUACCAGCGGAUAAAGCCGGGGACUCACGAGAAACUGCCCGUGUAAGCGGGAGGAAGGUGAGGAUGACGUCAAGUCAGCAUGGCUCUUACGUCUGGGGCUUCACACAUGCUACAAUGGGCGCAACAAACGGCAGCAAUACCGCGAGGUGGAGCUAAUCCGAAAAAUACGCCCCCAGUUCAGAUUGCAGUCUGCAACUCGACUGCAUGAAGGCGGAAUCGCUAGUAACCGCAGGUCAGCUAUACUGCGGUGAAUACGUUCCCGGGUCUUGUACACACCGCCCGU
rnacentral:rRNA from 1 species